rnacentral:ncRNA from 1 species
CUUGUCAGCGAUAAGGCAUUGGCGGAACCAAAACCGCAAAAGUGGCUUGGUGCCUCAAGAAGCUUGUGGCGUCAUUACAAGCGGUGAAAGCCUGCAAGGUACAUAGGGUAAACAAAUUUGGGCAGAGGCCGACGGGAAUGACGCUCCCGUCGGUUUUUG